UUCAUAUAUGAUAUAGGUAGGUAAAAAUCCAAAAACUAAAGGCUACAAGACGGAUAACGUAAUGAAGAUAUUAUACAUAGAGAGUGACAUCGUAUUUAUGGUACAACAAAUAUUAGUACCUACUCAGCUGGAAGGACCGCGAAACCAGGCAUUACUAAUUUGAGAAAGGACAGCAUGCAUAUCUACUGAUGAUGUGCCAAGAUUUAGCAACCACAAAACAAUAAAUUGUGACUUAAAUUCAAUGAGAAUUGAAUAAAAAUUCAAGUCGCCAUUCAUGACUUAAAUAAGCAAAUGGCUAUUUAAAUCAAAGGAGAAAGACCCUUAUUUUUGCACCAUCUUAUUCUUGGUUCGUUUUCAACAAGUAUUAUCAAAUACAAGGUGAGCUUCUUUUCUCAGGAUCAAUUUUCUAAUUAUCAAAUAUUUUGUUUGGUCAUCUCAUAUAUGGUAUAGGUAGGUAAAAAUCCCUUUUCUAUAUCUAGCGUGAAAAUGAUACCGGGUCCCCCGCUCUUUUACUUUCAAACCCAGCACUUCAUUAGCUAAUUGGGCAGCAUCAACGAUCUGCAUGUUCUUCAUAAAUGCAAUUUGAUGACCGGAAACCACUUCUCCCACCAUUCUUUUGAAUAUAUUGCUAGUAAUUUUGCUGCAAUUCUAAUAUCACUUUACCAUCAGAGCAACCCCUCUUGUAUGAAUUGUCAUUUUUCUGAAAGUAUUUAGUAUUUCACCCUCUUUGAGCCAUAGACACCUAAAUUUUUGCCUUCAUAACACUUGUUCUGCCUUUGCUAGUUACUGAUUUCUGCAAGUUUAGUGAUCUGGGUUUAUGAUUGAGACUUCCCCUUUUAUGCUUGUUGCGAUGCAAUUCUACCAAAAACAAGCAACACACUUAAGCCCUCACUCUCCAACCUGCAAAUAAUCAAGUCUCUCCCAAUGACUUAAUGAUCAUUCCAUUGCUGCUAGCUCUUCCCUUUCUGAUUAGUGUGUGGGCCAUAGUCUUGUAAAUCUCAGUUGAAAUUUCUCAUGUACUACUUC
rnacentral:lncRNA from 1 species